UCACCUCUGCAGUUGUGAAAGCAGGUC
rnacentral:piRNA from 1 species